CCACCUCCAUAGUCAAAUGGGUCUGCAACCUUCCGGGGUAGGGCUUCUGCUAACAUUGGAUUGCCAUAUUCAUCCUUGGUUAAUGCUUUACCCAUGCAAAUAAGAGUAAAUCGUUGUUAAUAAAGCAUGAGACCAAUGAGGAUGGACAGCCUUUAGCAAUGCUACGACGCCUGCGACAUGUGGGGCUGACAUGGACGUCCCUGAGUUGAAUACAUAUGCAUCUCCUUUGGCCGCUAAGAUGUUGACUCCAGGUGCGGCUAUGUCAGGCUGUUAAAGUAGUUACAACAGGGGUUCAGAUAAUUUGACUGUAUGGAAGUAGUGCUAAUUUAUCAGUCAAAAGCAACAUCCCUAUUUCCGAUAGAAAUCUUAAUAUCACCUAACCUCAUGUUUGUUCCAACAUUGUUUUAUAAUUAUAAAUUAUAAUAUAGAUUGCAGUGGAAGCCAACAUGAUGCGCUCA